CCCUACUACGUUCUCAGUUCCUAAAGAGAACAAUGAAUGUAAAAGGGUGAGCUCAACUAGCCCAGUAAGAAAUAUUAUGACUAAGAUAAUGCAGAAUAAAUUAUCGUUAGCCUUCAAUAGUGUUAAACUGAUAAAAUAUAACAAACAUCAAGUUUAACUACAGCGGAAUAAGCAGUCCAUUAAAAGAGUCAAGUAGAGAAUAAAAUCUACUGUCUUUUAUGAUUUAAAAAGGUUUUUC
rnacentral:lncRNA from 1 species